UAAAUAUAUUAUGUGUUGUGCAGUAGCUAGGCAAUUAGAGUUCAUAGAUUAAUGACUGAAAGAAAUCGAGGUAACUGGACAAGCACAAUCGUGAACAGGUGGAUGAGGGUGCAUGUGCACACACACACUGAUCAGACGUCGCCCUUUGGUGACGUUAAUACCUGGUUGUCAUAGCAAUUACGUUCCAUCUUUUGUUAUCUCCAGCCCACCCACAGCUACUUGUGGACACGAUUGCAACUUUGGUUGGGGCAGAGCUGGUCGAUUCUGUGCUCUGCUUGCUUGCGAUAUUCCUGCUCCAUGGGAAUGAAGAUUUGGCGUUCAGGUCUCAGACAUACAUAAAUUUUCUUAUGUGUAGCAAACCUCUGUCAAUUAGCUAGAAAUCGGGAGCGAAGCCAGCAGGCUUCAGGCCAGUAGUUAAGGAGAGUUGUUUUUCCCCCAUCUUUCUGAUUCAAGACCUUUCCCACAAAAAGCAAGAGGAAUAAGUGGGGGACACUACGCUAGGAAUUGAAGACAAAAUGUCUGCUUGAAUGUUGAGUCUGAUUGUAGCGUAGCAAUCACCGGUACAUUUAGAAAAUAAUUUCUAGUCACCAGUACAUUUAGAAAAUAAUUUGUAAUCCCUGUUGUUUCACCAGCAGCCCGUCGCUGUUCUUAUCUCUAGUCCUUCUCCUUUUUCCAUACCCUGUGUGUCCUGCGAGUUGUGUUGCGUGGUGCAGACUAGCAGAGGAUGCUGGAAGGAGGUGUGCUCUGUAACUGAGAUGGGAUGUGCAGGUGUAAAAAGAGGACUAUCAACAGGAGCGCGUGGAAACCCUGCGUGGCAAGUACGGUGUUACUUUCAACAUGUAUUGCAGUCAGCCAGUGUCACUGCCAACACUGAAUGCUUUUUGGGAGGCGUGUUAUUGGGUAGACCGUUCCCUUUGACUUUUUUGCACUCUGAAUUAGUAUCUUGACACAGAGUAAGUUUGUUUCCUCUCAGUAGGGCCCUUUUCUUGGUGCUCAGUGGGGCUGCAACACAGCCAGGGUUGAAGGAGGAUCUCUGGCUGCUUAGGCCAGGGGGACAGGACACCUCGGCUCCAUCCUCCUUUUGGUCGUGAGUUGCUGUGGUCAUUGUGCAGGCGUUUUACAUUAACUAGCCUCAGUUUAGUCGUCUUGAGAGUCAAUGUGAUAAUGUACCGAAAAGUGGUUUUCUUAUUACUUUAACUGUUGUAGUAUUUGAGAUAUUUGGAUACACGUUAUAAUCCAAGUACUUUGAUCAAAAGAUGUCUGAAGUCAGCAAAAAGAUACAUUGAUAGUGGAUGUCGUUCAGUUCCUAAGUGGAGAUAGUAUAGAAAUAGAAAGUGCUUUCAGAAAUAAGAAGUUAUCUAGUGACUGUUUGGUAUUUAAUACGUUCUCUUUCCUGAAGUAGAGCUAUUUAUCUGUUUCAAAGUAUGGUAUUUCUUCAUUCAUUGUCUUUACCGUUUCAGUCAUCGGAAGCCAGUUAGUACCUGCAUGCAAAUGCUAUUACAGUUAUCGGUGAAACUGGUAGCAUAAAUUGCAAUAUAAGGACACCCACCAUUUUUUCUUUAAUCUUAUGGAAGUCCAGUAUGCCAUUUAUUAAUUCUUAGCUGGCAUUGGCUAACCCUUAUGAUGGUACAAAGGUCACAUUGCUUGGAUGGAGCAGGCAGGGACGGAUAACAGUCCCGCGGUGCUUCCUGUUUAUGGAGCUACCUUGAUUGCCUGCAUUUGGUUAUUUUUAUAAAAUACGACAUCAAGUCCUUCGCUAUUUAAAUACGGGCCAAAACACAGCACUGAAUGCACAGCACACACUCGGUGUCAGCGUGGCGGGGGAGAGCUGGCUGAGGCUGCCUGCAAUCGUGGGAAUCACCAACAUGAGUUGAAUUUUGGACUUGACAUUAAUAUUGCAGUAGAACCAUCUAAUUUUUCACUUGUCCAUUAUAAUAUAAAUCAGUUCUUUUGAAAAAAGUAGAUUUUGAGUAACAUGGGUCAAAUUCUCCUUAAUGCAUGUAUAAAAAGUAUAAAAGGUAGUCUUUUGGGGGGCAAAUUAAGUAAAACCUUGGAAAAAAUCUUUAUAUGCUAUGACAAAAUAUUCUUUGAAAUACUUAAACUGAGACUUUGACUUUCAAGACAUAUAUAUAUAUUUAAAAAUUAUAUAUAUAUGUCAGUCAAAUGUGCGUAUUACUUUAACAGCCACUCCUUUUUAAUAGCUUGCCACCUACUAAUUUCUGAGACAUGAAACCCUUCUUAGCAGUGGAAUUUUUUAAGCCAGCUUAUUUGCCAUCAGGGUGGAUUUUUCUUUUUGAGACUUUGGAGUCAGGCUGUUUAGAUCCGUAUCCGUCUCUGCCUGACCAUUGAAGUGGGCAUAAUCAGAGCAUCUCUUCAAGAACUCAAGGACAAGGUCAGCAAAGGCGCUUUGAGACCUCAGGGCAAUACUCUGUAUAUUAUUUGGUUUUGUGGUGUGCAGGGUAUGUCAAAUAGAAGAUUGGUCCAAAAACAUGUUCUGGCUGACAGACAACGGAGUAGUUUGAUGUGGCUUUUUAUUUCAAGUCUAGUAACAGUUAGGUAAUAUAUAGGAUAGAGAGAGACGCAGGAUCUCUGCCUCCUGGUGAAUGUUCAUAUGUCUUCUUAAAAGACAGUACUGACUUUAUUGAGGCAGGGGAGGGAAAUGGACCAAUGGUCAUUUUGCUGAGAAAUGUGGCCAUAUUAGUGCCCGCUGUGGUCGAUCAAGUCAGGAAGUACAGGAUGGGCUUGUGCUGGUGAUGUUCUUUUUUUUUUUUUUUUCCUCAUUUUUGUUUUUGUUGGGUUUUUUGUUGUUUUUUUGGUGGUGGCUUGCUUGUUUUUAGAUUGAGUGCCAUUUUGAGCCGGUUUAAAGGGAAAAUGGACAAUGUCCACACAUGUUUUCUUGAGCCUGACUUACUGGAACUGAAUAGAUCCCCUGCAAGUCAGAUACGGGCAUUAGAUGUCUCAGUUUUGGUUCAACACAAAAUACCCUUAUUACUAAAAGUGUACUUGUAAAAUAGCUAUAUUGGCGUAGACCCUUUCAAGGAUUAGUCCAGAGCCUGAGGCUGCGUUGGAAACUGGUGUUCAUCACUGAGCAGCGUGCUGCAGCUGGCACGUGUCCCUAACUGGCAGAGAGAGCACAGAAGCUGUGGGUUUAAGGUAAGAAAAAAAGAAACAAAUAGGUGGUUUUCUUGCCUCCCGUGAAGAAAUCUCUUCCUACCACUGUUUGCAAUAGGUCAGUCCCAGUUUAUUCUCCUCCAGAAGACGCUGGGAAGAGGGUUGGUCUCUUCCCUGCUCUCUCCCGCGUCACCAGUGUGUUGCCCGUGACGGUUCAGAGGAUCUUCUGUGAUCUUGUAGUAAAGCUCUAGGAAGUGCAAAAGUGGGGGUAGGAACUCCUCCAAGGCAACAAUAGGGAAAUCCCACAAACCGGGGGUAGUGUGGACUCCCCUCCCCGCUCUCAGUCAUCCUCUGCUGUACUUAGCCAGGCCUGGGAUGCUGCCAGCUCCCUUGUGUUGUGUUGUGAUAGUAUGAACUGCUGACGCACGGCAGCGUGUUUAGCACGUUCCAGCCUGCCGUGGCAGCCUGUCCCUGGUUCACUGCAGGGUUUUAGCAGGAUGGCGUUUGCUGCUGUGCAUGGUGUGAUAUUUCCAGCGGAGGCUGUCCUGUCGGGCAGUGAGGACAGCUGCCACGAAGGUUUGUAGUGAUACGCUUUCUCACAUUUCUAAGUCCUAGCGGCACAGAAAGAGACAUCGGUAAUAUUGAUGGUUGGUUUUUGUUUCACUGGUUCACAGGCAGAGAAAUACCUGUUUCAUGACAUUCCCUCUCAGCCCAUGCCCUGCCACUGGGUCCUAGCUUCUACCUAAGCUUUCAGCUUCAAAUACACAACUCAUGUCUCAUGUGUCUCCUUCAGAAUGGUGGGCUUUUACUGAUUGACCAGCAGCCCUAAAGCACAAGAACAAAGCAAAUAUUGCACCGUGAAGUCAUUGGCCAUCAGAGAAUUAAGAUGACGUUCUCUUCUCAGAAUGCUUUAUAAGCAGGUAACACUUCAAACCAGUCUGUACUUAAAAGGAUGCCCGUGUCUGUUCAGGACUGCGUGAUGACUUUCCAGGGUUACUUGCUUGGGGAGGGACACCUCAGCCCUCAUUGGCAGCUGGCACGCUGUUUUUUCCAGUUAUUUCGAUUUUCCCUCUGGAGGGAUGAAGAACAGAGAAGAAACUCUCCCCAGCAGGCCAGGAUUGGACCGAAGCCUGUGGAGAAUGUGGUAUCAACAGUCAGCCAGCUUACUGCCAGGAGAAGACGACGAGUUGGGCACAACCAGGCAAGUCCUUCCUUUUGAUUCAGUUUGUGGUAGCGGAGAGACCAGGCACUCUCGGGCACUCAAGUUAAUGGAACUUCUGCUCCACUCCACCCAAAACCACUCCGACCAAUUCCUUCUUCCUCUGCCACAUGCUUUCAGGGGCAAAAGCCACUUGACUUAUCCU